rnacentral:rRNA from 1 species
AUUGAACGCUGGCGGCAUGCUUUACACAUGCAAGUCGAACGGUAACAGGCCGCAAGGUGCUGACGAGUGGCGAACGGGUGAGUAAUGCAUCGGAACGUGCCCAGUCGUGGGGGAUAACGCAGCGAAAGCUGUGCUAAUACCGCAUACGAUCUAUGGAUGAAAGCGGGGGACCGUAAGGCCUCGCGCGAUUGGAGCGGCCGAUGUCAGAUUAGCUAGUUGGUGGGGUAAAGGCCCACCAAGGCGACGAUCUGUAGCUGGUCUGAGAGGACGACCAGCCACACUGGGACUGAGACACGGCCCAGACUCCUACGGGAGGCAGCAGUGGGGAAUUUUGGACAAUGGGCGCAAGCCUGAUCCAGCAAUGCCGCGUGCAGGAAGAAGGCCUUCGGGUUGUAAACUGCUUUUGUACGGAACGAAACGGUCUGGGUUAAUACCCUGGGCUAAUGACGGUACCGUAAGAAUAAGCACCGGCUAACUACGUGCCAGCCGCCGCCGGUAAGAC